ACGACGCUGGCGGCGUGCCUAAUACAUGCAAGUCGAGCGGAUCUUGAUCGGGAGCUUGCUCCUGAUCUUGGUUAGCGGCGGACGGUGAGUAACACGUAGGUAACCUGCCCUCAAGACCGGGAUAACAUUCGGAAACGAAUGCUAAGACCGGAUACGCAAGUCUGUUGCAUAACGGGCUUGGGAAACACGGAGCAAUCUGUGGCUUGCGGAUGGGCCUGCGGCGCAUUAGCUAGUUGGUGAGGUAACGGCCCACCAAGGCGACGAUGCGUAGCCGACCUGAGAGGGUGAACGGCCACACUGGGACUGAGACACGGCCCAGACUCCUACGGGAGGCAGCAGUAGGGAAUCUUCCACAAUGGGCGAAAGCCUGAUGGAGCAACGCCGCGUGAGUGAGGAAGGCUUUCGGGUCGUAAAGCUCUGUUGCCAGGGAAGAAUAAGGGCUAGUUAACUGCUAGUCCGAUGACGGUACCUGAGAAGAAAGCCCCGGCUAACUACGUG
rnacentral:rRNA from 1 species